ensembl:snRNA U4 U4 spliceosomal RNA
AGCUUUGCGCAGUGGCAGUAUCGUAGCCAAUGAGGUUUAUCCGAGGCGCGAUUAUUGCUAAUUGAAAAUAAACCCUGCUUCCAUUUAUUCUCUUGAGAAAAUUAUCAAAUUAUGUAAGUUUUAAAUUACAAAA